GAUGAACGCUGGCGGCGUGCCUAAUACAUGCAAGUCGAGCGAACAGACGAGGAGCUUGCUCCUCUGACGUUAGCGGCGGACGGGUGAGUAACACGUGGAUAACCUACCUAUAAGACUGGGAUAACUUCGGGAAACCGGAGCUAAUACCGGAUAAUAUAUUGAACCGCAUGGUUCAAUAGUGAAAGACGGUUUUGCUGUCACUUAUAGAUGGAUCCGCGCCGCAUCAGCUAGUUGGUAAGGUGACGGCUUACCAAGGCGACGAUGCGUAGCCGACCUGAGAGGGUGAUCGGCCACACUGGAACUGAGACACGGUCCAGACUCCUACGGGAGGCAGCAGUAGGGAAUCUUCCGCAAUGGGCGAAAGCCUGACGGAGCAACGCCGCGUGAGUGAUGAAGGUCUUCGGAUCGUAAAACUCUGUUAUUAGGGAAGAACAAAUGUGUAAGUAACUAUGCACGUCUUGACGGUACCUAAUCAGAAAGCCACGGCUAACUACGUG
rnacentral:rRNA from 1 species